rnacentral:rRNA from 1 species
CAUUAUUGAAUAAACUUGAACGGGCUGUUUUGCUGGCCUCUUUAGAGGCAUGUGCACGCUUGUCAUCUUUAUCUUUUCCACUGUGCACUUCUUGUAGAUCUUGGGAAGUUUUGAAUUAUUCUUUAUAGAUUGAGGACUGCUGUGCUUUGAAAAAGGGUCAGCUUUGCCUUGUAUUUCCAGAUCUAUGUUUUUAUUACAAACCUCUUGAUAUGUUUAGAAUGUUAUAAAGAAUUGAUAAAUAAAGUAUACAACUUUCAGCAACGGAUCUCUUGGCUCUCGCAUCGAUGAAGAACGCAGCGAAAUGCGAUAAGUAAUGUGAAUUGCAGAAUUCAGUGAAUCAUCGAAUCUUUGAACGCAUCUUGCGCUUCUUGGUAUUCCAAGGAGCAUGCCUGUUUGAGUGUCAUUAAGUUCUCAACCACAUUAAAUUCUUUUAAUGUGGCUUGGUUAUUGGAAGGCUUGCAGGUCAUUUUUAUAUGGAUCUGCUCUUCUUAAAUGCAUUAGUGGUAUCUGAGCAGACGCUACUACAGAUGUGAUAAUUAUUUACAUCUUAGUCAUGCUGCAUUGGUAGAUUAUGCUGCUUCUAACAUGCAUAUUUUAUGAUAUAUUUGACCUCAAAUCAGGUAAGACUACCCGCUGAACUUAAGCAUAUCAAUAAGCGGAGGAAAAGAAACUAACAAGGAUUCCCUUAGUAACUGCGAGUGAAGUGGGAAAAGCUCAAAUUUGAAAUCUGGCGGUUGUUGACUGUCCGAGUUGUAAUCUAGAGAAGUGUUACCUAUGCUGGACCGUGUACAAGUCUCCUG